rnacentral:rRNA from 1 species
CGGUUAAACUUAAGGGCUGGUCUUUAUAAGUAAAAAGGCGUAGAGGAUGUGUAGGCCAAGAAAUUAUCUAAGAAGGUAAAUGGAAUUUUUCUGGAGCGGUAAAAUGUGAAGAUAGAAAAUAGAACACCUAAGGUUAAAACUAUUUACCACAAAAUAGGCUGAAACAUGAGAGAGUGGGGAGCAAACAGGAUUAGAGACCCUGGUAGUCCACUCUGUAAACUUUGAAGAUUAUGUUUAGCAGGCCCGAAAGGUAAAAUCUUCCGCCUGAGUAGUACGAUCGCAAGAUUAAAAUUCAAAAACUUUGGCUGUUCACUACUUCGAUUAGAGGAGCGUGUAGUUUAAUUCGAUGGUCCGCGUGUUACCUUACCCCAGCUUGAAUCUAUGACCGGUAUUGCAUGGCCGUCGUAAGUCCCUGUGUUAAACUAAAAGGGACCCAAUCCGGGCGUUUGCCUGAAGGAAGUCAGGUCUUAUGAUCCGAAUGUUGGGGGAUUUAUGCGCUACAUUUUCUUAUAUAAUGAGAGACUUGAGAGGUAAGCCUCUAAAGUAAGAGUUCGGAAGGUCGCUGUAAAACGACUGGAAGUUGGAUUUAAU